rnacentral:rRNA from 1 species
GAUGAACGCUAGCGGCAGGCUUAACACAUGCAAGUCGAGGGGUAUAGUUCUUCGGAAUUAGAGACCGGCGCACGGGUGCGUAACGCGUAUGCAAUCUACCUUUCACAGAGGGAUAGCCCAGAGAAAUUUGGAUUAAUACCUCAUAGUAUAGCAGUUUCGCAUGAAACCACUAUUAAAGUCACAACGGUGAAAGAUGAGCAUGCGUCCCAUUAGCUAGUUGGUAAGGUAACGGCUUACCAAGGCAACGAUGGGUAGGGGUCCUGAGAGGGAGAUCCCCCACACUGGUACUGAGACACGGACCAGACUCCUACGGGAGGCAGCAGUGAGGAAUACUUGGACAAUGGGCGCAAGCCUGAUCCAGCCAUGCCGCGUGCAGGAUNACGGUCCUAUGGAUUGUAAACUGCUUUUAUACAGGAAGAAACCCUCCCACGGUGUGGAGCUUGACGGUACUGUAGGAA